rnacentral:tRNA from 2 species
UAGAGUAUAGUGUAAUACAGGUAGCACGAAGAUUUUUGAAUUCUUAGGAGCAGGUUCAAUUCCUGUAACUCUAG